AAAGAAUUAGUUAAAAUAAAUAACAUAAAUAUGUCAAAUUUAAAUUAUUAUAAAUAUAAUAUUCUUUU
rnacentral:tRNA from 1 species